GUUUGGAAGUUGGGGCAGUUGGAGUCACUUCCCGGAGGCAGUUCACUUCCUUCUGCGCGGACCUGCGCCCGUGACUCAGGCUUCCUAGACUGUGGUGCUGCUUACCUUAAGCUUUUGUGAGCACUCACUGGGAUGUUGCGGGUAGCGCGCCAAGUGGGCCUCGCAGUCUCUCACUCUGCCUGCGGGACGCAGAGGCGGACCGCGCCGCCGGGGGGCCCCCGCCGCGGCCGGACGGCUCCGCGGAGGCUGGCUGGGCCCGGCUGUCGCGGGCGGCCGCAGGGGAUGUCGCAGCCCAUUGCGCUCCGAGCCUGCGGAUAUUACAAAAACAAGACCUUGCAUCGCAAGGUUAUUUUUUCCAGUCGACGUAUGCUUUACAACAUUGUAGGGGUGGAUGCUGUAUAAGAGACCUCUGGAGAUGCUCUGACUCCCGAUCUGUUUGCUUAUGCUCAUCCCACUCAGGAAGAAAAUCUUAGAAGCCAAAAGCCACAAAAUUGGUGAGCAUAAGGAGACCCUGGGACUCCCAGUCUUGCAUACUUUAAAGGGGUCUGGCCAUCCGUGUGCAAGAAGACUAAGUGUACUUAGUGUGGAAGACUUUUGUUCUUUUUUAAAGUUUUAUUGAUUUAUGCAUACAAGAGCUGGGGUACAGACUAAAGGUGAAG